rnacentral:rRNA from 1 species
UGGGGAAUUUUGGACAAUGGGCGAAAGCCUGAUCCAGCCAUGCCGCGUGUCUGAAGAAGGCCUUCGGGUUGUAAAGGACUUUUGUCGGGGAGGAAAUCCUCAGCGCUAAUACCGCUGGGGGAUGACAGUACCUGAAGAAUAAGCACCGGCUAACUACGUGCCAGCAGCCGCGGUAAUACGUAGGGUGCAAGCGUUAAUCGGAAUUACUGGGCGUAAAGCGUGCGCAGGCGGUUUGAUAAGCCAGAUGUGAAAUCCCCGAGCUCAACUUGGGAACUGCGUUUGGAACUGUCAGACUAGAGUGCGUCAGAGGGGGGUGGAAUUCCGCGUGUAGCAGUGAAAUGCGUAGAGAU